UCUGAGGUGAAAGCAGAUACAGGAAAUGCCGAAGGUGAAGCAGUCGGACAGGUUUCUCUCUUCUCGGGUAUAUGCUAAUUCUUUGUUAAUCAGUUACCUGACUCGUUCAUGUGAUUGAGAUGAACAGCUGAUCCUUACCUUCUUCUGUAGGAUGACAUUGGCCUAAUCUUGAUCAUGCAUAGCAUUUCCAUGUGUUGAAUAGGAAAAGAAAGAACAUUAGCACACCAAAGACCGUAUCAUAUUUCCACUCCAAUCUCAACAUAGAGACAGCAUGGGGAAUGGAGCUGUUGAGAAGAAUCUACUUCUUUUGGGAUUUAGGGAGAAAUUCCCUAUCUGUUUAUAUUCCGGUUUUACAUAAUUGUGGAUCCGCACUUAGAAGCUGGUCUAGGAACAAUCCAUUCGGCCUUACUGAGCUCCUUAUGAACGCUCAUUGAGAUUUAGACAGCAGGCAUCAACUAAGACCAAGGGUUGGCGGAAUUGGCUGAGAAUAUUCUUCUUCAGGCACGAGAUAAAAACUAGUGCUCCUGUUUUCUCUUCACAAUUAUAAGGCAUCAACUAUUCAAUACCUAUCUAAAGUUAUGUGGAAAUGAGAGAGCAGUUUUGACCUGAUGGCGAUCCAGCCCAGUUCAUUACGUAUAAAACAGUGCUUGUUUCUAAAUAUCACAUUUACUUAAGAAAGAUUUAACAAAAUUUGGUCCUCUAAUGCAUACCAUGUGGAUAUUCUAUUCAGGGAAACUCAAAGGCACCCAUGGAACAAAGAGACAUUUUCAACAAUGUGACCCUAAGUAUCCUGUGUUGGAACUGUGAUAGCUCAGUUCUGCUAGCCUUAAUGUGGAUUAUAACGUUUCUAAGCAGAGAUGAGUUCUAUUCACAGGAUGGAUGACCCCCUCUGCUCUCUCUCUCUCUCUCUCUCUAUUGAUCGACCCAAAUAUAAUUCCCUUUCAAAGUGAAAAGGUCAGAGAACCUCCUUUCAAAACACGAUACAUAAUUCCUCCGAGCUCUGUUCAUUUCUUAUAUUCUCUAACACGUCAAGACAUGAAGGGCUGUUCCAGCCCAUUGCCCUUAGUACCAUAUUGUCGACUCACACUUUUUGGGCACAUGAUGCGGCCGGAACAUAGAGCGCCGAGAAGAAUAUGAGUAAAAAUUCCUUUACUGCACAUAUUCUUUAUAAAUGAGUGUCAGUAAGGAGGCAUGGAUCUGAGAUCCUGCGAAUUCGAAGCUAUCGAAUUUGUGGUAUUAUUCCAGAACUGAGAGUUCCUUUUCAGCCGGUCACAAAGUAUCAGUCCACCUCCUUUUGUGGUUAUCAAAGGUAUAGCGCACCCAGCGAAGUUCCUAAGAUGCUGAAAUUUGAUCGUGGAUUUAAAUCAGCAAAAAUACAUUGAAAGGGAACUUACACUUUC